ACCGCAUGAAGAUUUUCUUAUUUGGAGAGGUGAGACGUCGGGUGAAUUCACAGUCCGCAGUGCUUAUAAACUAUUAUAGAGAUCGAAUGGUAAUCCUAGAGCUUAUGCUUUACUUACCAUCUACAGGAAAUUCUAUAAACAACUCUGGAGCCUGAAUCUACCAACAAAAGUAAAGAUUACAAUAUGGAGGCUGUCAUGGAACUAUCUGCCUACAAAAGUAAAUAUGUAACACAGGAAGCUAGCAAUAAGUACAAGUUAUCCUCAAUGUGGAGACAGUGCUGAAACUAUGAAUCAUUUAUUCUGGGAAUGCCCUGUUACAAUAGGUGUAUGGAGAGCAUUAUCUUUUCAGAAUAUUAUGUUGAAUCAAAGUGAGGACUUUGUACACUGGCUUACCUGGGUGAUAGAGCAGCUCAACGCUUGUCAAGGUCGGCUUUUCUAUUAUGCACUCCGGGCCAUAUAGAGGGACAAGAACAGAAGAAUACAUGAAGGAAAAGUCAGUAAUGGGAAGGAGAUUGCAAACUUUAUUAACAGUUACAUCACUGAGAUAACUGGCUUUGAAAGAAGAGAUCUGAGGAUAAUAAAAGAAAACAAAAGAUGGACGUACCCACAGUGGGAGGUCAUCAAGAUUAACUUUGAUGGUGCAUAUAAGGAGAGCCAGGACCGAUCAACUUCAGGUAUUGUGGCCAGAGAUUCGGAAGGAAAAGUUCUCUUAUCCUGUUCAGAAAUUCACAAUGACCUAUCGUCUGCUUUUGCUGCUGAAGCCAUAGCCUGCUGGAAAGCGGUCCAAGUAGGAGUCGAGAAGGGAUGGCAGUCAUUUAUUUUUGAAGGAGAUUCCCUCGCAAUAAUCAAGAAAUGUAAUACAAAGGGUCAUGACCGAUCAAUGGUAGGAGCUUACAUUUAUGAUAUCCAACAGAAAACAUAUGGACUAAAUAAUUUUAGAUUUCAACAUACACCAAGAUCUACGAACAACCUUGCACACAUUCUUGCAACAAAAACGUUAAAAAGAGGAGAAGAAACAUACCUGGAAAUGGGAGUUCCUGAGUACGCUGAAGAUCAAACUAGG
rnacentral:lncRNA from 1 species